rnacentral:rRNA from 1 species
GACGAACGCUGGCGGCGUGCUUAACACAUGCAAGUCGAACGGAAAGGCCCUGCUUUUGUGGGGUGCUCGAGUGGCGAACGGGUGAGUAACACGUGAGUAACCUGCCCUUGACUUUGGGAUAACUUCAGGAAACUGGGGCUAAUGCCGGAUAGGAGCUCCUGCUGCAUGGUGGGGGUUGGAAAGUUUCGGCGGUUGGGGAUGGACUCGCGGCUUAUCAGCUUGUUGGUGGGGUAGUGGCUUACCAAGGCUUUGACGGGUAGCCGGCCUGAGAAGGUGACCGGCCACAUUGGGACUGAGAUACGGCCCAGACUCCUACGGGAGGCAGCAGUGGGGAAUAUUGCACAAUGGGCGGAAGCCUGAUGCAGCAACGCCGCGUGCGGGAUGACGGCCUUCGGGUUGUAAACCGCUUUCGCCUGUGACGAAGCGUGAGUGACGGUAAUGGGUAAAGAAGCACCGGCUAACUACGUG